AGUGAACGCUGGCGGUAGGCCUAACACAUGCCAGUCGAACGGCAGCACAGUAAGAGCUUGCUCUUACGGGUGGCGAGUGGCGGACGGGUGAGGAAUACAUCGGAAUCUACUUUUUCGUGGGGGAUAACGUGGGGAAACUUACGCUAAUACCGCAUACGACCUACGGGUGAAAGCAGGGGAUCUUCGGACCUUGCGCGAUUGAAUGAGCCGAUGUCGGAUUAGCUAGUUGGCGGGGUAAAGGCCCACCAAGGCGACGAUCCGUAGCUGGUCUGAGAGGAUGAUCAGCCACACUGGAACUGAGACACGGUCCAGACUCCUACGGGAGGCAGCAGUGGGGAAUAUUGGACAAUGGGCGCAAGCCUGAUCCAGCCACACCGCGUGGGUGAAGAAGGCCUUCGGGUUGUAAAGCCCUUUUGUUGGGAAAGAAAAGCAGCAGGUUAAUACCCCGCUGUUCUGACGGUACCCAAAGAAUAAGCACCGGCUAACUUCGUG
rnacentral:rRNA from 1 species